AUGACAAGAAAUUUCUUAUUAUUAUCUGCUCUCUGCUGCUGCUGCUGCUGCUCAACGUGUAGAGGACAGAUCACCGUCACUCAGAGUCCCUCAGUGACAGCAGCUCAACCAGGACAAACUGUGAACAUCAACUGUAAAACCAGCACAGAUGUGACCUGGUACCUAGAUACGGGAUACAUCUUGAGCUGGUUCUUACAGAAACCUGGAGAAGCUCCUAAACUCCUGAUUUAUGGAACAAGCACCCUCCAGUCAGGAACUCCAUCUAGAUUCAGUGGCAGUGGAUCUAACAGUGAUUUCACUCUGACCAUCAGUGGAGUCCAGACUGAAGAUGCUGGACAUUAUUACUGUCAGGGUUUCCACUGCACAACAAAUUGGCUUGGUGUUUGUAAUGCUGAUUAUGUGUUCACACAGUGAUAAAGAGUCGUACAAAAACCUCCGUCAGUCAGAGUCACAGUGACUGAACUGAUACUGCAGCUGCUCACACACUUUCACACACUUUCACACACACUCAACAGCAGAAACACAAAUAUGAUCUUAAUAUCAGCUUUGUUGAGCUUCAUCAGUAUUUCUUCAGAUAAUUAGAAAUUCUUUUGAUGUUAUCAUGAUUUUUAGAUCAUUUAUGGUUUAUUUAUCCUCAU